ensembl:lncRNA
UGGAACUGAGAGUUAGGAUCGGGUCUAGAUGUAACCCAGUGGCAGGUGUAGGCAUCUUAGACUCACCCGAGUCAACGUUACCGUCUUCCCUCUCCUGUUCUACUCCCCCGCUCUCUUCCUCGGUUCUUCUCUCAUCCUCCUCUUCCUCUUUUUUCACAAUCACAUUGAGCUCCAGUGUUUGACUGCAGUCCUCCAGUUUCACUGACGCCAUCUCUUGACCUGGCUGUGAGCUUUUCUGGGCCGGACUCGGUUCAGUCAUGGUAURCUAGAGGCGGAUGCUUUUUAAGAAAGGAAAAUAGAUAUGUUAAUGUAAUUAAAAUAAUAUAUAAAACAAUAAAAUAUAUAUAAAUCACAAUGGGARGAACCGACUUUCAUGCCAGGGAAAGCGCUGCAGAUAAACAAUUAGCUAAAGGCCAUUUCACCAAUCACCAUGCUUGUAUAGGCUAAAUGGUGAUGUAAUGUACGACCGCGCAAAAUAAUGUAGUCUUUCUACGUACAGUGUUUUCACUCCGACAUAAUUCAUUCAUAUGGAGUUCCUCCCCUGAACUGUAAUGGAUUUUUAUCGAUAACGUUCCUGGCCAGAACAACAACCGAGACAGCCCAACGGACCGUGGCUGUCUACAACCACACUGUUCAACAUCUUCCACAUCGCCGACCUACAAUAAACGUUAACUGUAAGUUUCAGCGUCUGUUUAUAGUUUAAAUUACUAUAGUCAAAACGACAGAUUACCUGAUACCACUGGUCUUUUAUUGUUUGAUUAGACUCUGAGCAUGGAGAAUCGGAUGAGCCAGUACAGUAAACUUCCGCCUGCGCGCAGGAUGGGAAAGGGCGUCAUGUUCACGGGCGUCAUGUAAGCGCAGGCGUCGGCCAUCACACSGACCGAUUCGCAACCCUCCUCCCAGUUUAUCAAUAAAAGACCAGCGAUUUCAGUGUUGCAGUCCAGACAAGCUCACAACAGGGUCCAGAGAUGGCAUCAGUGAAGCUGGAGGACUGCAAUAAAACACUGGAGCUCAAUGUGAUUGUCAAAGAGGAGGAGGAGGAGCGAGAAAUCGAGGAGGAGGAGGAGGAGGAAGAAGAGGAUGAGGAAGAUAAUGACAUUGACUCUGAUAUGGAAGAAGAGGAGGACCAGAAAGAAGGAGGUGUGGCUAACCCAGGACUUGUUAUUGUUAAAAGAGAGGAUGAGGAGGAGAGGGACAGAGAGAAGGAUGAAGAGGAGGAGGAGGAAGGUGUGGAUAGGACCAAGCCAGGUAAUCACUGAUCAGAACAUGCAUCCAGAGGAGGAGGUGGGGGAUGGAGAGGAGGAGGAAGGUAUAGAUGGGACCAAGCCAGGAUUUAUUUAAACACAUGACCAAUUCAUAUACACAUUAAUAUACAAUAAACACAUUUAACUACCCAUUCAACUACCCAUUCAUACACAUAUAAACACAAACACAAACUACCCAUUCAUAUACAAUAAACACAUUAAACUCCACAUUUAUAUACACAUUAAUGUACAAUAAACACAUUCAACUACCCAUUCAUAUACACAUUAAUAUACAAUAAACACAUUCAACUACCCAUUCAACUACCCAUUCAUACACAUAUUAAUAUACAAUAAACAAACUACCCAUUCAUAUACAUAUUCAUAUACAAUAAAUACAUUAAACUCCACAUUUAUAUACACAUUAAUAUGCAAAGUGCUGUACAGAAACCCAGCCUAAACCCCCAAACAGCAAGCAAUGCAGGUGUAGAAGCACAGUGACUAGGAAAAAUUCCCUAGAAAGGCCAAAACCUAGRAAGAAACCUAGAGAGGAACCAGGCUAUGAGGGGUUCUGGGGCCCCACAAGGGUGUGUUCUCAGCCCUCUCCUGUACUCCCUGUUCACCMAAGACUGCGUGGCCAUGCACGUCUCCAACUCAAGCAUGAAGUUUGCAGACGACACUACAGUGGUAGGCUUGAUUACCAACAAUGACAAGACGGCCUACAGRGAGGAGGUGARGGCCCUCGGAGUGUGGUGUCAGGAAAAUAACCUCUCACUCAAUGUCAACAAAACAAAGGAGAUGAUCGUGUACUUCAGGAAACAGCAGUGGGAGCACCCCCCUUUCCACAUUGACGGGUCAGCAGUGGAGAAGGUGGAAAGUUAAGUUCCUCUGCGUACACAUCACGACAAAACUGAAAUGGUCCACCCACACAGACAGCAUGGUGAAGAAGCUGAAGAAAUUUGGCUUGUCACCUAAAACCCCCACAAACUUCUACAGAUGCACAAUCGAGAGCAUCCUGUCAGGCUUUAUCACCACCUGGUAGGGCAUACACUUCCCAUAACCGAAAGGCUCUCCAGAGGGUAGUGCGGUCUGCACAACGCAUCACCGGGGGCAAACUACCUUCCCUCCAGGACACCUACCCCACCCGUGUCACAGGAAGGCCAAAAAGAUAAUCAAGGACAACAACCACCUGAGCCACUGCCUGUUCACCCCGCUAUCAUCCAGAAGGCGAGGUCAGUACAGGUACAUCAAAGCUGGGACCGAGAGGCUGAAAAACAGCUUCUAUCUCAAGGCAUCAAGAUGUUAAACAGCCAUCACUAACAUAGAGAGGCUGCAGCCAACAUACAGACUCAAAUCACUGACCACUUUAAUAAAUGGAUUUAAUAAUGUUAUCACUAGUCGCUUUAAAUAAUGCCAUUUAAUAAAUGGAUUUAAUAAUGUUAUCUAGUCACUUUAAAUAAUGCCACUUAAUAUGUUUACAUAUCUUACAUUACUCAUCUCAUAUGUAUAUAUAUACUGUAUGUUAUACCAUCUAUUGCAUCGUGCCUAUGCUUACUCAUCUCAUAGUAUAUAUACUGUAUGUAUACCAUCUAUUGCAUAGUGCCUAUGCAUUACUCCAUCUCAUAUGUAUAUAUACUGUAUUUUAUACCAUCUAUUGCAUCUUGCCUUUGCCGCA